GUGCCCUCGGGGAGUUUAGCCAGCUCUGUGUCGCGCACCGCGUGCACCGUCGUGGCACGUGGCUGCCUUGUCAGCGCCUCCACCUAGGGGAUUGCGUGUGUGACCAGGGCUGAAUGAGCCAGGAGGCUGAUAGAUGGGACAGCUCCACUACAGGACAUCUGCACAAACUUCACUUCAGUCGUGUCCGACUCUGUGCGACCCCAUAGACGGCAGCCCACCAGGCUC